CUGAAGCCCAUUAAAGUUAAACAAGGUGCUCAAAGUCACCCAGCUGAGGAGGACUUAGCCCUAGUCUGUCUGGUCCAAAGUCCCUGCGUUUCCUGUGACAGCCUCCCCUCACGGUGCCGGUGACGCUGCUGGUAUAACAGGGCCUCAGAGAUGGGACGGCUCAGGAGAGAAACAGAAGCUGUGGAAGUUUCCAGGUGAUGGGGUGACUUGGAGUGGGGUGAGGAGGCAGCCCAGUGCACAGCUGGAUCAGAUUCCAUCCGACCCGUGGGAACCUACCAACAUUGGCUGGUGUGAUGAGCAGAAGAAACUGUGCUCAGAGGUGAAACAACAGGCUCCUCCCAGGGUUUUUCUGUUCCAUCACCUGUCUCUGCGGUCCCAGUCUGUUCCACCCCUCCUGGGAGGCCUGGGAGAGGAGAGACCUCCUUCUUUUGCGGAGCCCACCUCCCUGUUCUAGAAAACUUCUUGCUAGGCACAGCAAGACCCUCCCUCAGCUCCAUCCCCGAGAAGCUGAAAACCCUUCGGCAGCUUCUAUUCUCAGCACCAGGAAGACUUUCCUGCGACCAGGAGCGUCCGCAGUCAGCUCUUUCCACGGGGCUGGGUUCGUUCACGCUUCCUUUGGAGGUGCUUCGUGGAAACCAUCAUAUGUUAGCCCGUGAACUAAACAUUGCUUCAGAGAUGCGAGCCUAAGAGGCGCAAGCAUCCAGGAGUCAUUGAGAGUGGAAACGGCUCACGAGGGUCCAGGUUCCAGGCAUGGAUUUGGGAAUAAAGCAAACGCCACGUCCACCCUUGAGCUCACAAAUAGCCCUUCUGGUAGCAGGUCAUCCGGGAGAGAGAAUCUCAGGACAAACGAAGCUGGAGGAUGUUGCUUUUCUGAUUUGAGAUUGGCUCAGGCACAGAGAAGGAGCAUGAGCGGCUGGCCCAGGAACCACCCUGUCUACCUCCAGAGGGCUAAGGAGAGGCCCCUGCUCACCCUUGAGAACGGACUUGCCUUUGUCGUGUUCAGAAGGCUUAGACCUAAUGUCCCUGCCCGUUGGUUCUCCUCAGCUCGGCAGCCUCCACGCCAGGAGUGGAAGUUCUAAGGCGCCCAGCACAGUGCAAGGGUCUGUGGGGACACAGGAAGUCCGGUGCGGAGCUCACAGCCUGCAAGGGAAGCUGGCUCCUUUGUCUUUCUUUCUGUCCUUUGCUCAUUGGACUAUGUCAGUGGUAUCUGCUGCAGACUUUGCAAAAUGGAACCAAAGCGAGGCGAAGGACUCCAGUGAGCAAGUGAGGAAGAAAGGGGAUGCUAUUCACCGGGACCCUUCAAACACCUGCACAUUCUGGAUCCUCUUUUGGAAACAAGCACCACUAUUCCGGCUGCUCUCAGGCACGAAAUCACAGCUCCAACCGUAUCAGAAGGAACACAAAGUCCGGCCUUUCAGAUGGGGCAUUCCCAGGAGGCAAGGUCAGAGGUAUCCCCCUCUUCUUUCUCAGGUCACCCUCUCCUCAUCAUCACCCCCUUCCAAAGACCCUAGGAGAAGGGCCUGUGCCCAGAACAGUCAGUGUCCCUACUCCAAG
rnacentral:lncRNA from 1 species